rnacentral:rRNA from 1 species
ACCCUCCUCAACUCACAAGGUUGAC